UUCGCAAUGCCCGAAAGGGUGACGAAGCGACGCCGCGUGGGUGAGGAAGGCCUUCGGGUUGUAAAGCCCUGUCAGGAGUUAAGAAAUGUAAGUGCGCUAAUAUCGCAUUUACUUGACGAAGGCUCCAAAGGAAGCCACGGCUAACUCUGUGCCAGCAGCCGCGGUAAUACAGAGGUGGCAAGCGUUGUUCGGAAUUAUUGGGCGUAAAGAGCACGUAGGUGGGUUUGUAAGUCAGUUGUGAAAGCCUUCUGUUCAACGGAAGAAUUGCAUCUGAAACUGCAAAUCUUGAGUGUAGGAGGGGAGAAUGGAACUUCUGGUGGAGCGGUGAAAUGCGUAGAUAUCAGAAGGAACGCCGGCGGCGAAAGCGACUCUCUGGCCUAUUACUGACACUGAGUGUGCGAAAGUUAGGGGAGCAAACGGGAUUAGAUACCCCGGUAGUCCUAACUGUAAACGAUGGGCACUAAGUAGAGGGGUUUU
rnacentral:rRNA from 1 species